rnacentral:lncRNA from 1 species
UUCUUUAUCAUACGAUACGAGGCAUCCAAAUCUGCAUUCCCAUCCCCUUCUGAACCCGAUGAGACAUCCGUCUCAGUCGAACCAAACUCUCGAACCCGUCCAGAAGUUGAGGAUGCAACUUACGAUUUAAUCGGUUAAAAAAAAAGGUUUAGCCAUAAAGAUUCCGGUUAAAGAGAGUUCUAACGUGGGGGGCGACGGCAUAUAAUUACCUUAAAAAAAGUUGAGGAUGCAACAUACGAUUUAAUCGGUUAAGAAAAAGGUUUAGCCAUAAAGAUUCCGGUUAAAGAGAGUUCUAACGUGGGGGGCGACGGCAUAUAAUUACCUUAAAAGGGGGUGCCCUCCCUGAGACUUCCUCAGUCAUAGUUUUCUGCUUGAUAGACUAACUAAUUACUAAAAAGAAUUGCCAGAUCAACCAUCAAUCGUUCCUUAUGAUUCUAGGGGUUUAGGAUAGGAAGAGGGCUAAGCUCAACUCAAAGAUGCUAAAUAAGGGCAUUCAUUAGAAUUUCAAUGCGCAUUGAGCGAGUAGUUAGUUCAGGUCUUUUUGUAUGAGAGAUCUCGUUCCAACAGUUUUUCCGUGAAGGCUCUCUUUUAUUUUCAGGAUGGAACCUUUGUUCAGGACCACAGGACGGGAUAGGGUCCCGUUGAAUUAUACCUACCUGGUAAACCCCGCCACAGCGGUCGUUUUCUACCUCUCGAACACAUGGAUGCCAAGCUCCUUUUCAUUAAGAUUUUAGGACUCCUAGUUCUAACUUCAAUCUUGGAGAAAGGUGAGUGGGCUAGGAUCGGGCUAUUGGAUCGAGCAAGGUUAGGAAGGGAGGCAAGGCGAAAGGCAUGCACUGGGUACCGCCGAAACGAAUAGCUAACAUUGUUAUCCCGGUGAUUUUUCCCGAAGAGUUUAGGGCAGAGUCUGAUUAUGCUCCUCCAACAGUUCACGCCAAACUUUGUACUUCACAAAAGGUAGAAAACAAAGAACCAAAUCCUGAGACUAGGGUGCCCACUCUCCACAAAAAAGAAGAGGUGGCUCAUGCCAGUGAAAGAAGCAAUAAAAGAAAAGUCUGAUUCCUGAUCCAAAACCGGUUUUUUGAAUGAAGUUAGAAAGAAGUUCUAUGGUUCAGGUCUUUUUGUAUGAGAGAUCUCGUUCCAACAGUUUAUGCGUGAAGGCUCUUUUUUAUUUUCAGGAUGGAACCUUUGUUCAGGACCACAGGACGGGAUAGGGUCCCGUUGAAUUAUACCUACCUGGUAAACCCCGCCACAGCGGUCGUUUUCUACCUCUCGAACACAUGGAUGCCAAGCUCCUUUUCAUUAAGAUUUUAGGACUCCUAGUUCUAACUUCAAUCUUGGAGAAAGGUGAGUGGGCUAGGAUCGGGCUAUUGGAUCGAGCAAGGUUAGGAAGGGAGGCAAGGCGAAAGGCAUGCACUGGGUACCGCCGAAACGAAUAGCUAACAUAGUUAUCCCGGUGAUUUUGCCCGAAGAGUUUAGGGCAGAGUCUGAUUAUGCUCCUCCAACAGUUCACGCCAAACGUUGUACUUCACAAAAGGUAGAAAACAAAGAACCAAAUCCUGAGACUAGGGUGCCCACUCUCCAGAAAAAAGAAGAGGUGGCUCAUGCCGGUGAAAGAAGCAAUAAAAGAAAAGUCUGAUUCCUGAUCCAAAACCGGUUUUUUGAAUGAAGUUAGAAAGAAGUUCUAUUGCUCCGGAAGGAAGGCGGUAGGUGGGCUUAGAUAAGAAAUAUAGGAAUUUCUUCUCUAU